AGCAGCCGCGGUAAUUCCAGCUCCAAUAGCGUAUAUUAAAGUUGUUGCAGUUAAAAAGCUCGUAGUUGAAUUUCGGGGUCAAUAAGUUGGUCAUGCCAAUGGUAUGCACUGGCUUUAUUGAUUCCUACCUCUUGACGAACUGUGAUGCCAUUAAUUUGGUGUUGCAAGGAAUCAGGACUGUUACCUUGAAAAAAUUAGAGUGUUUAAAGCAAGCUUACGCUUGAAUACAUUAGCAUGGAAUAAUGAAAUAGGACGUUUGAUCCUAUUUUGUUGGUUUCUAGGAUCGACGUAAUGAUUAAUAGGGAUAGUUGGGGGCAUUAGUAUUCAAUUGUCAGAGGUGAAAUUCUUGGAUUUAUUGAAGACUAACUACUGCGAAAGCAAUUUGCCAAGGAUGUUUUCAUUAAUCAAGAACGAAAGUUAGGGGAUCGAAGACGAUCAGAUACCGUCGUAGUCUUAACCAUAAACUAUGCCGACUAGGGAUCGGAUGAUGUUAAUUUUUUAAUGACUCAUUC
rnacentral:rRNA from 1 species